rnacentral:rRNA from 1 species
CCCCUAGAUGUUCUGGGCCGCACGCGCGCUACACUGAACAGUUCAACAAGUCUUAACCUUGGCCGAUAGGUCUGGGUAGUCUUUGAACGCUGUUCGUGAUUGGGAUAGACCUUUGCAAUUAUGGGUCUUCAACGAGGAAUUCCUAGUAAACGCAAGUCAUCAGCUUGCAUUGAUUACGUCCCUGCCCUUUGUACACACCGCCCGUCGCACCUACCGAUUGAAUGGUCCGGUGAAAUCUCGGGACGGCGGCUUGGUCGCUUGCGUCCGACUGCUGAAACUUGAUUAAACCAUAUCAUUUAGAGGAAGGUGAANUCGUANCA